UACGUAGGGUGCGAGCGUUAAUCGGAAUUACUGGGCGUAAAGCGUGCGCAGGCGGUUUGUAAGCCAGAUGUGAAAUCCCCGGGCUUAACCUGGGAAUGGCAUUUGUGACUGCACGGCUGGAGUGCGGCAGAGGGGGAUGGAAUUCCGCGUGUAGCAGUGAAAUGCGUAGAUAUGCGGAGGAACACCGAUGGCGAAGGCAAUCCCCUGGGCCUGCACUGACGCUCAUGCACGAAAGCGUGGGGAGCAAACAGG
rnacentral:rRNA from 1 species